CCAUGUAGAUGUUUAGUGAUAAAAUUGAUUGGCUGGUUAAUCAGUAAAGUUGAACAUAUCUCAUUAUCUAGACUAUCAAUGAAUCGUUAAAUUGAAUUUCCUGUUGAUUAAUAAAACUAACAAGUAGAAACAUGAUUCACAUAAUCACUCCUGUUAGCGAUGUUAAUUGUAAAAUGGUUUAUUGUUAUUGUAAAUUUUGCAUCCAGACGUUGGUAAUGACAAAACUGGUAACUUAAAUUACUAAUAUUCCUACUUGUCUCAACUAAUCAGUUCCAGAUGAUAUUCUGGUUAACAACAGAUAACCAAAGUGCACCGCUAAUUGGUAGAGUAAAUAAAUAAAUUAUUGGAAAUAAAUUGUAAGUCAAAUAAAUUUAAAAAUAAUCCAAUUUUCUUACAAGGGUUAAUUAGCAGAUUGUCCCUAAGCCGAUGACACUUUGUUUUCAUUUGUUAUUGUUUCUCCCUCCAUUUUUAUCCAAACCCAUGCAAAUUAAUGAUCGGCUAAUUUUGAAUGUGAACCACACACAAACAUGGUUAAUAAUGAGGAUAAUAAUGAUGAUACAUUAACAAAGGGCGAAGUCACUGGAAAGAGAGAAACUUGUUUUCCAUAAAUUGGCCCAGUUAACAAGGAAAAAAAGCUUAACCAAAAUAAUGGAUAAAUCGGAGUUUCACUUCAUCAUCUUCAUCUUAUUCUGUCCUGCGGUAUUGUUUCAAGCUUAAUCAACCUUUUUCUUUAUCAGCUUCAGGGCACUCCUCAUGGUAAAGCCUAAAUUGUUAUCUCAUGCGUGUCUACAUUUAUCCUGAGCCCGUGACCAGAGUUGACCUGAUUUACGGUUCAACAUGAUGAUGCUUUUCCCAAAAACAGAACCAGAUUUUGUUCAAUGCUAAUUCACAUGAAAGACUAUCUUUUAACAACAUGGCUGAACCUUAUGAAGUGAUGAACAUUCUAGCCAACAUCUCCAUCAACUCUUUUAUUUCCACCCUCAAUCAGUUCUUGCAACUAAAUGAAUUGGGUUAAGAUUGGGUGAUUGAGGACCUCAAGUAAUCAAGUUUACAAUGAAUCAAAUUCAAAGCAACAAUUGGUCUGCAGAUUAAGAUUAAUGCAUUCACAUUGGACUCAUCUUUUCGAGUCUUCCUAAUUAUUUUAAUGAUGAUUUCAACUGUCGUUAUUAUAAUCAUGUUCAAGUUUCCCUGUUUUUCACCAACUCAAUUGGUUAAUCAAUUGAUUUGUUGUUGGACUAGUUUCACCUUUUUGCUGGUAAAUUUAAACUGAUGCUUAUCAUUAUUAUUAGUCACAUUAAAGUUGUUGGAAUAAUUGUA